CAAGGCUAAAUUAAAAAAGGAAAUAAAGCAAAUAACAGAUGAUUGAACCGCCAUGCAAAUGCGGGGGACUAAAUGAAAAAUAACCCUCAAGGACCCAGUGCGCGGGUUUCAGCCUAGCGCGGGUCGGGUCAUCGGGUAUAGGACUGCUGAACGGUGUCGUUUUGAAGCCAUAGGUAUUGGCUUAAAACGGCGUCGUUUCCUUCGUUAAAUAAAAGCCAAAAUUCAGGCAGACCAAAGGUCUCCCCCCUCCCCCAAAACUCUCAUUCGGUCCACCGCUCAGCCAUUGUUUCACCACCUUAUCGAUGGGUGAAGGCGCACAAAGGCAUCUUAAUGCUCUCCGGUUGGAGCCUAGCCUCAAAGGCCGUUGAUUUUAGCCCCAGAAUCCCAUCUUCGACUUCGAUGUCAACGAAGGAGAUGAGGAUCCCGACGGCUCGUAUGCGAAGGUACGGGUGCGUGUACGGGGAUCGUGCUGGCGCUUGGCGUGAGGAGUACGGAGGCUGGGGCUGCUGAAACGUUGGGGCGUACGGAGGCACGGAGCUGCUGUCCGAUUGCUGUUGCGGCGCAGGAAGGAGGAGUGACCUAGGGUUACUGAAGUUGUUUCAACUUUUGGGCUGUUUUGGGCCUCGAAGCUUUGGACUGUUUUGUAAAUGGGCUAGGGUAUUAAUUUUAGUGGGCUGUUUGGGCUUGUAAUAGGACACUAACUAAAUGGACUUUGUUUUAUUCAUUUA